GCAGGAAUUAAAUGAGAUGAUGUAGCCGGGUGCAGUGGCUCACGCCUGUAAUCCUACCACUUUUGGCAGGUGGAUCGCCUGUGCUCAGGAGUUUGAGACCAGCCUGGUCAACAUGGUGAAACCCCAUCUCUACUAAAAAUACAAAAAUUAGCCAGGCAUGGUGGUGCACACCUGUGGUCCCAGCCACUCAGGAGGCUGAGGCAGGAGAAUCGCUUGAACCCGGGAGGCAGAGGUUGCAAUGAGCCAAGAUCGUGCUACUGCACUCCAGCCUGGGCAACAGAGCAAGACUCUGUCUCAAAAAUAAAUAAAUAAAUAAAUAAAUAAAUAAAUAAAUAAAUAAAUAUAAAUAAUGAGAUGAUGUAGACAAAGCACACAGCACAGUGCCUAGCACAUAGUAGGCACUCAAUAAAUGGUAGUGGUUGCUUGCUGAAUCUCUGAGUUACUUUCUUUGCCCUAGUUGUUUCUUCAUCCAGAAAAUGAAGAUAAUACCACACUUACUCCUACCACUUAGGAUAUUUUUGUGGUUUUUUGGUUGUUUAAUUUUUGUUUUUUAGAGAUGGGGUCUCAGUCACCCAGGCUGGAGUACAGUGAUACAGACAUAGCUCACUGUAACCUCAAACUCCUGGGCCCAAGUGGUCUUCCCCCACCCCAGCCUUCUGAGUAGCUGGGACUACAGAUGCAUGCCACCAUGCCUGGCUAACUUUUUAUUCUUCUAGAGACAGAGUCUCACAAUGCUGCCUGGGCUGGCCUCAAGCAGUCCUCCCAUCUCAGCCUCCCAAGUAGCUGAGAUUACAGGUUCAAGCCACUAUGCCCAGCAGUCAGGCUAGUCUUGAACUCCUGACUUCAAGUGAUCUGCCCACCUUGGCCUCCAAAGUGCUGGGAUUACAGGCGUGAGCCACCGCGGCCGCCUGGCUUUUGCUGUUUUCAACCUCCAUCAUGGGAGAUGAGUUCUGCCAGCCAGGAAGAAGGGGCUGGGGAAUUACUGUUUCAGAGAAGCUGUUGGCAACACCAUCCAAGAGGGUGAUUGUAAGGAGGGUAUGUGUUGAUGGCCCUUGCAGAACCUGACACCAAACUACUACCAAGCAAAUAUUGGUUGGUCUUGUUGUUAAUAAUGAAACUCCUACCUGAUAAACCAGUACCUAGCCAAGGAAGAGCUUUGUGUACUUUGUUUCCAUGAACAAAUGUUUAUGAAUCUGGACUGUGUGCCAGGCCCAUACUAGGCGCUACUUAGGAGGGCACAUAAGGCAGCGAGUUACUGUCCUGUGUCUCCCACCCCCACUCCACAAUAUCCAAGCGUUGUUAUAAACACAGGUGGCUGUUGCCUGGCCAUAAGCAUUUGCCGUGGAGUGUUUCCUUCUCGAAUGUUUCCCGUUCAGUAUGCCGGUUGUUUCCACAUGGUUGCUCUGUUUUCUGAUGCACAAAACAUGUUUUUUAAAAACCUCAAUAUUGGCCGAGUGUGGUGGUUCAUGCCUGUAAUCCCAGCACUCUGGGAUGCUGAGGCGGGCAGAUCACUUGAGGUUAGGAGUUUGAGACCAGCCUGGCCAACAUGGUGAAACCCUGUCUCUACUAAAAAUACAAAGAUUAGCCGGAUGUGGUGGUAUAUGCCUGUAAUCCUAGCUACUUGGGUGGCUGAGGUAGAAGAAUCGCUUGAAUCCGGGAGGUGGGGGUUGCAGUGAGUCGAGAUCAUGCCACAGCCUGGGCGACAGAGCGAUACUCCAUCUCAAAAAAUAAAACUAAU
rnacentral:lncRNA from 10 species